CAGCCGCCACGGGAAUACGGAGGGGGCUAGCGUUGUUCGGAAUUACUGGGCGUAAGGCGCACGUAGGCGGCUUGGUAAGUUAGAGGUGAAAGCCCGGAGCUCAACUCCGGAAUUGCCUUUAAGACUGCCGAGCUAGUAGGUGAGAGAGGUAAGUGGAAUUCCGAGUGUAGGGGUGAAAUUCGUAGAUAUUCGGAAGAACACCAGUGGCGAAGGCGGCUUACUGGCUCAUUCUAGACGCUGAGGUGCGAAAGCGUGGGGGGCAAACAGGAUUAGAUACCCGCGUAGUCCCUGUCUCUUAUAC
rnacentral:rRNA from 1 species